rnacentral:rRNA from 1 species
UGCGUACCUUUUGUAUAAUGGGUCAGCGACUUAUAUUCUGUAGCAAGGUUAACCGAAUAGGGGAGCCGGAGGGAAACCGAGUCUUAAUUGGGCGUUAAGUUGCAGGGUAUAGACCCGAAACCCGGUGAUCUAGCCAUGGGCAGGUUGAAGGUUGGGUAACACUAACUGGAGGACCGAACCGACUAAUGUUGAAAAAUUAGCGGAUGACCUGUGGCUGGGGGUGAAAGGCCAAUCAAACCGGGAGAUAGCUGGUUCUCCCCGAAAGCUAUUUAGGUAGCGCCUCGUGAAUUCAUCUCCGGGGGUAGAGCACUGUUUCGGCUAGGGGGCCAUCCCGGCUUACCAACCCGAUGCAAACUGCGAAUACCGGAGAAUGUUAUCACGGGAGACACACGGCGGGUGCUAACGUCCGUCGUGAAGAGGGAAACAACCCAGACCGCCAGCUAAGGUCCCAAAGUCAUGGUUAAGUGGGAAACGAUGUGGGAAGGCCCAGACAGCCAGGAUGUUGGCUUAGAAGCAGCCAUCAUUUAAAGAAAGCGUAAUAGCUCACUGGUCGAGUCGGCCUGCGCGGAAGAUGUAACGGGGCUAAACCAUGCACCGAAGCUGCGGCAGCGA